rnacentral:rRNA from 1 species
GAUGAACGCUGGCGGCGUGCUUAACACAUGCAAGUCGAACGGAAAGGCCGAAGCUUGCUUCGGUACUCGAGUGGCGAACGGGUGAGUAACACGUGGGUGAUCUGCCCUGUACUUCGGGAUAAGCUUGGGAAACUGGGUCUAAUACCGGAUAUGACGAUCUCUUGGAUGGGGUUGUGGAAAGCUUUUGCGGUAUGGGAUGAGCUCGCGGCCUAUCAGCUUGUUGGUGGGGUAAUGGCCUACCAAGGCGUCGACGGGUAGCCGGCCUGAGAGGGUGUACGGCCACAUUGGGACUGAGAUACGGCCCAGACUCCUAAGGGGGGCAGCAGUGGGGAAUAUUGCACAAUGGGCGCAAGCCUGAUGCAGCGACGCCGCGUGGGGGAUGACGGCCUUCGGGUUGUAAACUCCUUUCGCAAUCGACGAAGCCUUUUGGUGACGGUAGGUUGAGAAGAAGCACCGGCUAACUACGUG